UAGGGAAUCUUCGGCAAUGGACGAAAGUCUGACCGAGCAACGCCGCGUGAGUGAAGAAGGUUUUCGGAUCGUAAAACUCUGUUGUUAGAGAAGAACAAGGACGUUAGUAACUGAACGUCCCCUGACGGUAUCUAACCAGCAAGCCACGGCUAACUACGUGCCAGCAGCCGCGGUAAUACGUAGGUGGCAGGCGUUGUCCGGAGUUAUUGGGCGUAAAGCGAGCGCAGGCGGUUUCUUAAGUCUGGUGUGAAAGCCCCCGGCUCAACCGGGGAGGGGCAUUGGAAACUGAGAGACUUGAGUGCAGAAGAGGAGAGUGGAAUUCCGUGUGUAGCGGUGAAAUGCGUAGAUAUAUGGAAGAACACCAGUGGCGAAGGCGGCUCUCUGGUCUGUAACUGACGCUGAGGCUCGAAAGCGUGGGGAGCAAACAGG
rnacentral:rRNA from 1 species